AUGAUCAUCAUGGCCUGGAACUGCCGGGGAUUGGGGUUGGACUCGGCAGUUGGCGAACUCAGGGACCUGAUUAGGUCAUACAACCCAGCGGUGGUGUUCUUAUCGGAAACCAAAAAGAGGGCGGGAGCGAUGGAUAGACUCAAGUGGAGUUUGGGGUUUAGCAAAGGUGUAGCGGUGGACUGUAAGGGAAAGAGUGGUGGUCUUGCUCUAUGGUGGAGAGACCAUGUCGAGGUUACUGUUAGGCCAUGGUGUCAAUAUUACAUCGAUGCGGCCAUGGUCUGUGAUGGUGUCUCCUUUAGGUUCACUGGAAUCUAUGGAGAACCGUGCGUUGAGAAAAGAUCAAAGACCUGGGAGGUCAUGCGUUAUAUCUGUGCUCAAGACAACCUCCCAUGGAUCUGUGCGGGUGAUUUCAACGAAGCACUACGCCAUGAUGAGCAGCAAGGAGGUAACCCGAGGAGUAGGGCGCAAAUGGAAAUGUUUGAAUAA
rnacentral:rRNA from 1 species